UACAGAGGGUGCAAGCGUUGUUCGGAAUUACUGGGCGUAAAGAGCUCGUAGGCGGUUUGUCGCGUCGGCUGUGAAAACUCGGGGCUCAACCCCGAGCCUGCAGUCGAUACGGGCAAACUAGAGUGUGGUAGGGGAGACUGGAAUUCCUGGUGUAGCGGUGAAAUGCGCAGAUAUCAGGAGGAACACCGGCGGCGAAGGCGGGUCUCUGGGCCAUAACUGACGCUGAGGAGCGAAAGCGUGGGGAGCGAACAGG
rnacentral:rRNA from 1 species